rnacentral:rRNA from 1 species
AUCUUCGGCGGACGGGUGAGUAACACGUGGGCAACCUGCCUGUAAGACUGGGAUAACUUCGGGAAACCGGAGCUAAUACCGGAUAAUCCUUUCCCUCACAUGAGGGAAAGCUGAAAGACGGUUUCGGCUGUCACUUACAGAUGGGCCCGCGGCGCAUUAGCUAGUUGGUGAGGUAACGGCUCACCAAGGCAACGAUGCGUAGCCGACCUGAGAGGGUGAUCGGCCACACUGGGACUGAGACACGGCCCAGACUCCUACGGGAGGCAGCAGUAGGGAAUCUUCCGCAAUGGACGAAAGUCUGACGGAGCAACGCCGCGUGAGCGAUGAAGGCCUUCGGGUCGUAAAGCUCUGUUGUCAGGGAAGAACAAGUAUCGGAGUAACUGCCGGUACCUUGACGGUACCUGACCAGAAAGCCACGGCUAACUACGUGCCAGCAGCCGCGGUAAUACGUAGGUGGCAAGCGUUGUCCGGAAUUAUUGGGCGUAAAGCGCGCGCAGGCGGUUCCUUAAGUCUGAUGUGAAAGCCCCCGGCUCAACCGGGGAGGGUCAUUGGAAACUGGGGAACUUGAGUGCAGAAGAGGAGAGCGGAAUUCCACGUGUAGCGGUGAAAUGCGUAGAGAUGUGGAGGAACACCAGUGGCGAAGGCGGCUCUCUGGUCUGUAACUGACGCUGAGGCGCGAAAGCGUGGGGAGCGAACAGGAUUAGAUACCCUGGUAGUCCACGCCGUAAACGAUGAGUGCUAAGUGUUAGAGGGUUUCCGCCCUUUAGUGCUGCAGCAAACGCAUUAAGCACUCCGCCUGGGGAGUACGGCCGCAAGGCUGAAACUCAAAGGAAUUGACGGGGGCCCGCACAAGCGGUGGAGCAUGUGGUUUAAUUCGAAGCAACGCGAAGAACCUUACCAGGUCUUGACAUCCUCUGACAACCCUAGAGAUAGGGCUUUCCCCUUCGGGGGACAGAGUGACAGGUGGUGCAUGGUUGUCGUCAGCUCGUGUCGUGAGAUGUUGGGUUAAGUCCCGCAACGAGCGCAACCCUUGAUCUUAGUUGCCAGCAUUAAGUUGGGCACUCUAAGGUGACUGCCGGUGACAAACCGGAGGAAGGUGGGGAUGACGUCAAAUCAUCAUGCCCCUUAUGACCUGGGCUACACACGUGCUACAAUGGAUGGAACAAAGGGCAGCGAAGCCGCGAGGUGAAGCCAAUCCCAUAAAACCAUUCUCAGUUCGGAUUGCAGGCUGCAACUCGCCUGCAUGAAGCCGGAAUCGUUAGUAAUCGCGGAUCAGCAUGCCGCGGUGAAUACGUUCCCGGGCCUUGUACACACCGCCCGUCACACCACGCGAGUUU